rnacentral:rRNA from 1 species
AACACGACUCUCGACAACAGAUAUCUCGGCUCUCGCCACGAUGAAGAAUGUAGCAAAAUGUGAUACUUAGUGUGAAUUGCAGAAUCCCAUGAAUCAUCGAGUCUUUGAACGCAAGUUGCGCCCGAGGCUUCAGCUGAGGGCACGUCUGCUUAGGUGUCACAC